rnacentral:rRNA from 1 species
GACAGAGGAUGCAAGCGUUAUCCGGAAUGAUUGGGCGUAAAGCGUCUGUAGGUGGCUUUUCAAGUCCGCCGUCAAAUCCCAGGGCUCAACCCUGGACAGGCGGUGGAAACUACCAAGCUGGAGUACGGUAGGGGCAGAGGGAAUUUCCGGUGGAGCGGUGAAAUGCGCAGAUAUCAGGAGGAACACCGAUGGCGAAGGCAGGUCUCUGGGCAUUAACUGACGCUGAGGAGCGAAAGCAUGGGGAGCGAACAGG